AGUUUCUAUGAAUUAACAAGUUAUUUAUUUGUUUAAUGUUACAAAUGUACAUACUAAAAUAAGAAUAUUGUCACUAUUCUCUAUGAAUUAACAAGCAUCGCAGCAACACUGUAUUAACAAUAACUAAGCUCUGGCAUACAAUAGUAAGCGCUUACUAUUGUAUGCUCUGGCAUACUAUUGUAUGCUAGAGCUUCCCCCUAUGGUUUAUUAACUUAUUUGGCGACUGAAAAUACAGUAAUUAUAGUUUGUACAUUUACAUUGAAGCUCGAGGUUUUUUUUUUCGGGUGCACGCAUCUCAGGCUUGAAUGAGAGCCGGGGCUCGGCUCGUCUCGGGGCUAAUGGCCGAGUCGCGGCCUAACGGCUAACGGCUAGCACAACUGAGUGUGUUGACGAACGAGCGUUUGAAAUCCCACAAAGAGUCAGCCCCCUUCAGGACGCCAUUCGUCACAUUUCAUUAAGGACCAACAAAACAGGCAAAUUGUGUGCGAGGUACAUAAAUGCAGUCAAAGGAUGUGAAAUAUUUGCAAAGAGUACAAUCGGCAGAGGACAAUUUGUUGCUGAAUAUCGGGGAUAUAUGAUAAAUGAUGCAGAAUACUAGAGCAGAAGAUGAGUUUACCACCAAUCAUGUGCUGCGUUUAUGUUUGCAUUCAAGUGGAGAGGGAAAACAUGGUGCAAUGAUGCUUCACAAGAAGAUGAGUCAUUUGGGCGACCAGUGAAUGAUGAACACAGGAGGCCAAAUUGCUAGAUGAAAAGGAUUGAUGUGGAUGGUGUGCCACACCUAUGUUUGUUUGCUUUCAAUGACAUUCAAGAGGGAGAAGAAAUGACCGAUGAUUAUGGUGGCGAAGACUGCCCAUGGAGAACACAAAUGACCAGCCUUUACAGUCACAGAUGUGGCUCCUCAACCCUCUGUACUGCCUCAGAGUCAGAUGCAACAUACACCAGAUGACCAAGACAAUACCCAAUGAGACUACUUUAAGAGAAAACUGUUGCGAUACUGCUGGUCCAGGCAACAUACACCAGAUGACCAAGACAAUACCCAAUGAGACUACUUUAAGAGAAAACUGUUGCGAUACUGCUGGUCCAAGCAACAUACACCAGAUGACCAAGACAAUACCCAAUGAGACUACUUUACAAGAAAACUGUUGCGAUACUGCUGGUCCAGGCAACAUUCACCAGAUGACUAAGACAACACCGAAAGAGGCGACUUUACAUGAACUCUGUUGUGAUAGUGCUGGUCCAAGCAACAUACAUCAGAUGACUAAGACAACACCCAAAGAGGCGACUUUACUUGAACCCUGUUGUGAUACUGCUGGUCCAAGCAAAAUACAUCAGAUGACCAAGACAACACCGAAAGAGGCGACUUUACAUGAACUCUGUUGUGAUAGUGCUGGUCCAAGCAACAUACAUCAGAUGACUAAGACAACACCGAAAGAGGCGACUUUACAUGAACUCUGUUGUGAUAGUGCUGGUCCAAGCAACAUACAUCAGAUGACCAAGACAACACCCAAAGAGGCGACUUUACCUGAACCCUGUUGUGAUAGUGCUGGUCCAAGCAAUAUACAUCAGAUGACUAAGACAACACCCAAAGAGGCGACUUUACUUGAACCCUGUUGUGAUACUGCUGGUCCAAGCAAAAUACAUCAGAUGACCAAGACAACACCCAAAGAGGCGACUUUACUUGAACCCUGUUGUGAUACUGCUGGUCCAAGCAAAAAAAAAAAAAAAAAGCUCUGUCAUCCAAGCAGGGCUCAGAGUCAAGCCGCUGCUCCUCCGCAUUGAGAAGAGCCAGAGGAAGUGGCUCAGCCAUCUGUUUAGGAUGCCACCGGGACGCCUCCAUGAAAAGGUAUUUCGGGUAUGUCCCACUGAUCAGAGUCCCCUGAAGAUGACCCAGGACAAGCUGAAAAGUCUGUCUCUCAGCUGGCUUGGGAAUGCCUCAGGAUCACCAGCAAGAGCUGGAGUUGUUUGGGAGGGUGAAGUCUGAACUUCCCUGCUUUAGUUGCUGCCCCCGUGACCCGACAUUGGAUAAACGGAAGAGAAUGAAUGAAUGGAACACUGAGAUACAUUUAGAAAUUAAUCGUAACUGGUUGAACUUUCUAAAGACUAAGAAAAAGUUAAAAAAUGAUAGUGAUAAAGCUUCAGUUUUCUAUAAGUGUAAUCACAAUUUGGAAAAAUCUUUUUCCAUAGGAGAAAGAAGUGAGAAUGAUAAUCCGUGCCAAUUAACACCCAAGAGACGGACACCAUUUUCAAAUAAAGACAGGCCAUCAUCAGAUGAUGAUGAAAUUCCAUCAAGUAUUCCUGCCAAGAGAUCUUCCUUCAAAGUACUUCUAGGAAAGAGGAAGAGAACUCCCUGGCAGGAAAGCGAAAUAAAGGCAGUGGAAAGGCACAUGAUGGGACUCAUCAAAUCUUUUUGCGUCCCAGGAAAAAUGGAUUGCGAAAGAUGUUUAAGGGCUGAACCAGAAGCCCUUAAAACACGAGACUGGCAAACCCUCAAGUAUUAUGUUUAUAACCGCAUUUCGGCUGCCAAAAAGUAAUUGCAGCACAAAUAAGUUUUCAAUCAAUCUGUUGAGGCACUUUUAUUUUCAUUAUGGAUAUUUCACUUUGAAUGUAUUUUAAAACAAUGUCAACAGUUUGUUUGAUGUUUGUUUAAGGUAGACCAUAGGUGUCAAACUCUGGUCCUGGAGGGCCGCUGCCCUGCAUGUUUUCCAAGUCUCCCUGUUGCAACACACCUGAUUCAAAUGAUCAGAUCAUCAGCAAGCUCUGGGCAAGCCUGACAUUGAACCUGUUCAUUUGAAUUUGGCUGGAUCUUUGAUUGCAACAACAUGCCAGAAAUGUCUUCCAUUCUCUGAAGCAGACAUAUUCGAGUCACAUGACAUUUAACAAACAAAAUAGAUUAUUUCAACGAUUAUUAUUCAAAUGAAUUGACUUUCAUUUGACAGUUGGGUUCAGAUGCUUGCCAUUUUUGAUGAGUAAUGCACUUUGUGUGAGGUCCCCAGUAAUCACAUGUACUUGUUAUAGAUCCUGUGUGAAUUAUGUAAAUACAUUUAAAUAUAUUUAAAUUAAGUCCUCAUAAGGCAUGUAAACUGGACUUUUCUGAAGUCCCCAUAUGACAUGGUCCAACCACAUGACUUCAUAAAUUCUGAUAUUUAAAGGUGUUUAUAAGCUAACACCACCACCUUGUGUAUCCCUGAUUUUUUGCAGAGCUCUAUGUCAUUUAGAAAGGGUGGUCCCCGAAAGUGAUGAACUAAAAAGUAGUCCCCACAAAUCACAUAAACCGGUCUGUGUGUGUGUGUGUGUGUGUGUGUGUGUGUGUG